rnacentral:rRNA from 1 species
GAUGAACGCUGGCGGCGUGCUUAACACAUGCAAGUCGAGCGAACGGACGAGAAUUUUGUUUCUCUGUUGUUAGCGGCGGACGGGUGAGUAACACGUGGAUAACGUACCUAUAAGACUGGGAUAACUUCGGGAAACCGGAGCUUAUACCGGAUAAUAUUUUGAACCGCAUGGUUCAAAAGUGAAAGACGGUCUUGCUGUCACUUAUAGAUGGAUCCGCGCUGCAUUAUCUAGUUGGUAAGGUAACAGCUUACCAAGGCAACGAUGCAUAGCCGACCUGAGAGGGUGGACGGGCACACUGGAGCUGAGACACGAUACAGGCACCGACGGGAGGCAGAGGCAGGGAAGGGUCCGAGAUGGGCGGAAGCCUGACGGAGCGGCGCCGCGUGGGUGAUGAAAGUCUGCGGAUCGUAAAACUCUGUUCUUAGGGAAGAACGUAUGUGUAAGUGACUGAGCGCAUGUGAACGGAACCGAAGAAGAAGGACCGGGCUAACAACGU